rnacentral:rRNA from 1 species
UACGUAGGGUGCGAGCGUUUGUCCGGAAUUAUUGGGCGUAAAGGGCUCGUAGGCGGUUUGUCGCGUCGGGAGUGAAAACACGGGGCUUAACCCCGGGCCUGCAUUCGAUACGGGCAGACUAGAGUUCGGUAGGGGGAGUCUGGAAUUCCUGGUGUAGCGGUGAAAUGCGCAGAUAUCAGGAGAACACCAGUGGCGAAGGCGGCUCUCGGUCG